CCGGUUUUUACCUCAAAGGUGCACUAAAAUACCGUUCUAUUGACUAAACAAGGGCUUAAUUUCUUUUUUGCGAGGUUAGUAAAAUAUUCGCAAAAGAAAAUGUACGAUGGAAGUGCUUUUUCAUUUUCUUGACGAGAAAAAACGGAGAUAGUCGUGUUACUAUUCUUCUCCGUUUGUUUAUUAAUUUUCCAAAUUUAGAGUUUUAAACUCCAGCUAAACAAUAACAAACAAGCAUCAAUUCCGUUAUGUUUAUACCUUUUUCCAAUUGUUGUUUCAAAACUUAUUUUUUCAUUAUAUAUAUUUAUUUUUGCUCAAUUGAUUGCUAAAGCAACAAACUUUGUGGAUUGUAUUUACAAGAAAAGAAACAAAAGUGGUUGCUAUGUUGAUAUUGAAAACAAAAUUAGAUACAUACAAAUAAAUAAUUUUGUUGAUGUCUAUGUUAGAGUGCUAUGGUUAGAGAUAGUCAAACUGUUAUUACAACUCCACAAAAAGGAUUAACGAAAGUUAUGAAACCGGAGAUUUAGUACUACGAAUUAAAAUAUUCUUGUGUUCACGGUGGAAGAAAACUCAAAGGAAGAGGUUCUUGACAACGAGCUGUUCAGUAUAUGUUUUGUUUAUAUUAAUUACCAACCUCGUUUCCAGACCUUUUUUAUAACUUUGUUCUACUAACUGAACUUUUAUAUUUUUUUUAGUACUAUAAAGCAAGACUGCAAGUUUUCACUUCCUUAGCGAGUAGAUGAAUCUGGACAAUUUUAAGAAGUCAUAGAAAUUCACGCAUAAUCACGAAUUAAAUGGGAUAACAAAUCAAAAAAUGCGCUGUUUGGAAAUUUGCCCUGUCGUUUGUCCCAGGAUUUAUGAAGAUUAAUUCAACAGUUGAAGGGUGGAAAUAAAUCCGACAAAAUAGGCAUCUGUGUAAUGUGUUAAGUAAGCUGAGAUGUUUUCCCGCCACAUUCCAGUUAAUUUAAGUUUACUUUUCUACCAACUUCGUCCUUAGGGGAUUUUGCUUGUUUGAUAUCCAUAAGUAAGCGCUAGCAGCUAUGACAUAGGCAACAGACCCUAGGGAAGAGAAUUCUUUUCUACAUUUUGAGAAUCAGUUUAAAACAAAACUUUGCUUUCAAUUUGGUACAUGGAAAAAACAGUGAAAUAUCGAUCCUGUUUUCAAACUAAUCUUAGACUUAACAAGAAUGCGUCACGAGAAAAAGAUGAGAAUUCCUACAUUCAUAGCAGAAGCAAAUUAAUUGGCAGUUCGCUUACACUUUUUUUUUGGGAGGGAUGUACUUUAUUUUAUACUAUUUCAGCCUUUUUUCUGAAGAACACAGAACUUCAGAAAAAGUUGCAAAAUCCAUUUUCAUAAUUUAAUGCCAGUUGCGAAAUUCAUUUUCAAAGUUAUUGUUAGUUCUAUACUACGUUAUUUUGUUUUUAUUAUCUAUGAAGAAAUUCUGACUAAGAAUUUCCUUAACAUGUUCUUUAUUUUUGACACAAUCUUUAUCUCAAAGUGUUUUAAUACAACCUUCUUAUUAAAAUAUUAUCUUUUUUCGUUUAUGAAAAGCAAAACAAAUAUUCCGUGAAGCGUGUAUUUUGUGUAUAACUUUUAGUUUUAUAAACAACCCAAAAAUUUUGCUGAUCCUAAACUGUUCCUCACUUGUUUCUUCUUGACUAUCUAUCUACAAACGAAAGAGGCAGACCAUUUGGAACCAUGCCACAAGUCAGUCCGACCUUCAUCGUCACAGAGAAUACUGCGAGAAGAGUGCGUACCCAUGCAAGUUAAAUAAAACCAGAACAUGGGAGAGGUUAGGUUCUGUGAAAUUAACUUUUUUGACGAAUGUUCCUAUAAACAAUUAUCAUACCGACGAGUGUGCUUGGGAUGGGUCGUUAGCUUAAUUAUUUGUUUUAUAUAAUAUUUUUAACUCUUUUUACUUUCGUCUACCUGACCACAUGAUAUGUUUAAAGUUCAUAUCGCUUUACUUACGUAAAAGCCCAUAAUGGCUGUAAUUGAAUAUGUUUUGUUUUUAGUUUCGUGUAUUAGACCACGAUAUUGUCUCUGCGUAAAAUCAUCUAGCGUAAACACACUCCUUCGUAUAAUUCAAAAAUAAUUUUUAUCUUUUUUAGUACACACCUAUUUUGUAUUUAUCUGUCAGAAAACUUACCUUAUUGUUUUCAUUGAA